CCUACGGGCGGCAGCAGUGGGGAAUAUUGCACAAUGGGCGCAAGCCUGAUGCAGCCAUGCCGCGUGUGUGAAGAAGGCCUUCGGGUUGUAAAGCACUUUCAGCGGGGAGGAAGGCGGUGAGGUUAAUAACCUCAUCGAUUGACGUUACCCGCAGAAGAAGCACCGGCUAACUCCGUGCCAGCAGCCGCGGUAAUACGGAGGGUGCAAGCGUUAAUCGGAAUUACUGGGCGUAAAGCGCACGCAGGCGGUCUGUCAAGUCGGAUGUGAAAUCCCCGGGCUCAACCUGGGAACUGCAUUCGAAACUGGCAGGCUAGAGUCUUGUAGAGGGGGGUAGAAUUCCAGGUGUAGCGGUGAAAUGCGUAGAGAUCUGGAGGAAUACCGGUAGCGAAGGCGGCCCCCUGGACAAAGACUGACGCUCAGGUGCGAAAGCGUGGGGAGCAAACAGGAUUAGAUACCCUAGUAGUC
rnacentral:rRNA from 1 species